UACGUAGGGGGCUAGCGUUGUCCGGAUUUAUUGGGCGUAAAGAGCGUGUAGGCGGCCAGGUAGGUCUGCUGUGAAAACUCGAGGCUCAACCUCGAGACGUCGGCGGAAACCAUCUGGCUAGAGUCCGGAAGAGGAGAGUGGAAUUCCUGGUGUAGCGGUGAAAUGCGCAGAUAUCAGGAGGAACACCUAAGGCGAAGGCAGCUCGCUGGAACGGUACUGACGCUGAGGCGCGAAAGCGUGGGUAGCAAACAGG
rnacentral:rRNA from 1 species